UUAAAAUAAUGUCUGUGAGUAUAACAAAACUGAUAAGGCAGGCGAAAACCCGAGGAAAAUCCAUCCAGGAAGUACUAUUAUUUUGAAAGGCUGUUUUUCCAUUGAAAGCCUAUCCACCAUACAAAGACUUAGGACCCAAUUCACGAUCUCUAUGUCUUCUUCUACAUGUGGCCAGUCUUUAGGCGUUGUUUCAGGCUUUUACUCUGAAAAAUGAGGGAGAUACAGCACUUUCAAUGAGUGGACAGUGGAAAUUUCCAGACAUGAGCCCAGCACGUGAUUGGGAGCGGGCAUUUGUUGUUUCUCCUUUUCUAUUGACGAAGCUUUUGUCCGGAUGAAAUAUUAUUGAUUAUUUAUGACAAAAACAACCUGAGGAUUGAUUUUAAACAUCGUUUGACAUGUUUCUAUGAACUUUUAUUGUACUUUUUUUCCUUUCGUCUUUGUACCUUUGGAUUACUGAACUAAACACACCAACAAAACUGAGGUUUUUGGACAUAAAGAGGGACAUUAUCAAACAGAACUAACAUUUAUUGUGUAACAUGGAGCCCUGGGAGUGCCACCAGAUGAAGAUCAUUAAAGGUGGGACGCUAGCGUCCCAAUGAUACCAGAGAGGUUAAAGUCCCCAGGCUACUAGGAGCCUGCCUCUGGGCCACCCGACGCCAGAGCUCCAAAGACACUGCUGCUGCUGAUUUCUUGCCUCUAGCAGAGAGCUACCUGGCCGACUACAGUGACAAACACACACUCUCUAUCAAACUCAAGACUGACAAACUCACGCUCUCUAUCCCACUUUGCCCGCGCUGCCGCAAGGAGGGAUCCCCAGCUCAGCUCAUCAAACAUAAUUAUUUUCAGUUGUGUGAAAUAUGUGACAUUUUUAUUUCACGUGUGAAAUUAUAUUGAUAUCUAAUGUUUGCAGUGAAUAUUAGAGCAAUUCUUGAAUGUGAGCAUCUUAGUGUAUCCUGGAGUUGGUAUAUUAAACUACCUGCCACUGGGUUAGGCAUCCUCACAUAAAAAACGAUUGCCCUUCCUAUUUCUGGGCAAUGAUUGCUCUGUUCAGUCCUUUAUCAUUGAUGACCUUGGAGGACACCAGAAAGAUGAUAGCCUUUUGAUUUUAAGUUGUAUAUGAUGAUUACAAUAACAACCAGUCUGGUUAUACAAGGCAAUUGACUGAUUUAUUGGGACAAGGCUUGAAUUAUUAAUAGACAUCUCAUUAUUAAUUUGUUUUGGGUAUCAGAAGAUACGUCCAACACAAGCCAUGAAUAGCUUACUUUGAUAUAUGGCUGACUAACUUUAGUUUUCGUAUGUAUUGUUGUGAUUGCGUUGACAGACAAUAUCAAAAAAGUGUUUAUGGACAUAUUCAACCUCUCUUUAUCCCAGUCUGCUGUCCCCACAUGCUUCAAGAUGGCUACCAUUGAUCCUGUACCCGAGAAAGCGAAGGUAACUGAAUUAAAUGACUAUCACCCCGUAGCACUCACUUCUGUCAUCAUGAAGUGCUUUGAGAGACUAGUCAAGGAUUAUAUCACCUCUACCUUACCUGACACCCUAGACCCACUUCGAUUUGCUUCCCGCCCCAAUAGAUCCACAAACGAUGCAAUCGCCAUCACACUGCACACUGCCCUAUCCCACCUUAACAAGAGGAAUACCUAUGUAAGAAUGCUGUUCAUUGACUAUAGCUUAGCAUUCAACACCAUAGUACCCUCCAAGCUCAUCAUUAAGCUCGAGGCCCUGGGUCUGAACUCCGCCCUGUGCAACUGGAUCCUGGAUUUAAAAUGUAUGUAAAAUCUCAGAAAUAUUCUAUAUUAAACUCCGAAAUAGACAUAUGUGUCAGUGGGCUCAUCAUUUAAAUAAAAAAUUGCUUUCAAUUCUGAAUUUUAACAUAAAUCUAAUCUUCCUGGGAUUGUCCUUAACAUUUCAGACUGAGCUCAGAAAACAUUACAUUUAUAUUUAUUCAUCUUUGCUAUUUUAUUUAACAAAUAUUGUCAUGUGACGGGGUUGAGACUAGGGUGAUAGGGUUGAAUACUGUAACGGGGUUGAGACUAGGGUGAUAGGGUUGAAUACUGUAACGGGGUUGAGACUAGGGUGAUAGGGUUGAAUACUGUAACGGGGUUGAGACUAGGGUUAUAGGGUUGAAUACUGUAACGGGGUUGAGACUAGGGUGAUAGGGUUGAAUACUGUAACGGGGUUGAGACUAGGGUGAUAGGGUUGAAUACUGUAACGGGGUUGAGACUAGGGUGAUAGGGUUGAAUACUGUAAUGGGGUUGAGACUAGGGUGAUAGGGUUGAAUACUGUAACGGGUUGAGACUAGGGUGAUAGGGUUGAAUACUGUAACGGGGUUGAAGAGACACAUCGGUUUCCAUAUAAACUACUUUAGUUUACUGUCAAAAUCCCUCCGAGAUUUACCCCAAAACAUUGCAUUUCAUUGUAUGCAACCAUGUAAUAAGGACAUUAGAUAUAUUUAGAAUAAU
rnacentral:lncRNA from 1 species